CCUACGGGGGGCAGCAGUCGAGAAUCAUUCACAAUGGGGGAAACCCUGAUGGUGCGACGCCGCGUGGGGGAAUGAAGGUCUUCGGAUUGUAAACCCCUGUCAUGUGGGCGCAAAUUAAAAAGAUAGUACCACAAGAGGAAGAGACGGCUAACUCUGUGCCAGCAGCCGCGGUAAUACAGAGGUGUCAAGCGUUGUUCGGAAUCACUGGGCGUAAAGCGUGCGUAGGCUGUUUCGUAAGUCGUGUGUGAAAGGCGAGGGCUCAACCCGCGGACUGCACAUGAUACUGCGAGACUAGAGUAAUGGAGGGGGAACCGGAAUUCUCGGUGUAGCAGUGAAAUGCGUAGAUAUCGAGAGGAACACUCGUGGCGAAAGCGGGUUCCUGGACAUUAACUGACGCUGAGGCACGAAGGCCAGGGGAGCGAAAGGGAUUAGAUACCCCGGUAGUC
rnacentral:rRNA from 1 species